UUCUUGAUGUUAAUGUUGGGGUAAACUAUUGUAACUUACAUACACCAUUUUCAUAUACAAAUUAGAUCAACCCAAGUACACUCACUCCAUUUAUAUUGUUUAUUGCAGUCAAUACUCAACUUUGAGGAACAGGAACGACACAGUCGCAAUCCUCAACCUUUUGAUGAAUCUGUACUCCACACACUUCUAGACAAUUCAUUGCCUGAGACAGAUGAGUUGGACCAAUGCAAAGCGAUCAUGGUCCCCAUGGUAAGCAGGGGGCAUUGGACAUUGUAUGUUGUCAACAAGGUCAAGAAGUGCAUUCAUAUUUUAGAUUCCAACCCAUAUGGACCAACACUUGGUGGAACUACAUGGAAGGACUAUCAUUUUGCACAUUUGGGCUCAGGUGGCAGAAAGUUACCCUGGGCUAAGGUUAUUAUGAGCAGAUUAAACAAAGCAAUACAACAUGUGCGGCCCAGUUCAUGCUUUCCCAAGUUUGGUAACUUCACAAUUGACUUGUGCCAAAAUUGUCCUAACAUGGUAGCUGGAUCAAAUGACUGUGGGUUUUAUGUCAUGGGUUACAUUCUAUUUUAUCAAUGCGACGAAGGAUCUUUGCGGUCAGACAUAGAAGCAGGCAACACCAGUGAGAUACGGUCUCUUGCGCUGCAUUACAUCACAUUCCACCCGAAGAACAAAGCAUUAUCGCUGCUCCAAGACAUCCAAAGAUUCAAGGUCUAAAGGAUGUAGUUUAGUUUGGUCAUGUAAUAUAUUUUGUAUACAAUCGUUCCCUAAACUUCAGAUCAGUCAUGUGUGUAUAUUAUGGCCAAAGUCCGUAGACGUUUCUUAGUUAUGUCAUUGACAACUUUGGGAUCAGCUUUUUUCUAAACUGGCAUGU